rnacentral:rRNA from 1 species
UGACGUUAGCGGCGGACGGGUGAGUAACACGUGGGUAACCUACCUAUAAGACUGGGACAACUUCGGGAAACCGGAGCUAAUACCGGAUAAUAUGUUGAACCGCAUGGUUCAAUAGUGAAAGAUGGUUUUGCUAUCACUUAUAGAUGGACCCGCGCCGUAUUAGCUAGUUGGUGAGGUAACGGCUCACCAAGGCAACGAUACGUAGCCGACCUGAGAGGGUGAUCGGCCACACUGGAACUGAGACACGGUCCAGACUCC